GGUUAUGGCUCAGUGGUAGAGUGCUUGCCUAGCACAUGUGAGGCACUGGGUUCAAUUCUCAGCACCA
rnacentral:tRNA from 1 species